UCACAAAUGUCCCCGACACUGGGACAGGCA
rnacentral:piRNA from 1 species